rnacentral:rRNA from 2 species
CACCAGGUUGAUUCUGCCUGACGUGUGCGCUAGUCUUGGGGACUUAGCCAUGCAAGCCAGCGAAGCGGCGCGGAGCGGCGGACGGCUCAGUAGGACGGCGAUAAUCCACCCGCAGCAGAGACAAGGAUAACCGCGGCAAGCUGCGGCUAAGACAUGGACAGGCUGCGGCGCGGGGAGGCGCGGGCAGCGGACAGGGAGCGGCUGCGGCGGAGUUGCUGGCCCAUCAGCUGGUAGGUAGGGUAAGGGCCUACCUAGGCGACGACGGGUGACGGGGGGUGAGAGCCCGGAACCGGAGAGGGAGCCUGAGAAACAGCUCCCACGUCCAAGGACGGCAGCAGGCGCGGAACUUGCCCAAUCCCGGCGGGGGAGGCAGCCACAAGACGUGGGGGCCCGGAACGCACGGCAAAGGAGUGCGGGGCGACUGGAGGGCAAGUCUGGUGCCAGCAGCCGCGGUAAUUCCAGCUCCAGGAGCGCACAUGAGUGUUGCUGCAGUUAAAACGUCCGUAGUCGGCCCGGGCGCGCUGUGAGGAAACCGCGGGGCCCAAGGCGGCGGGCAGCACGGGAGCGGGGGCGACAGGAACGGACAACGGCCGCGGGAUCCGGGGGCGAGAGGUGAAAAUCGGGGACCCCGCGGGGACGGGCGGAAGCGAAGGCGGCGGCCGGGGACGUGUCCGUUGAUCAAGGACGAAGGCCGGAGGAUCAAAGAUGAUUAGAUACCGUCGUAGUUCCGGCAGUAAACGAUGCCGACGGGGCGAGGCCAGGGGGCUGUGUCCGGGAGAAAUUGGAGUGUUUGGGCUCUGGGGAUAGUACGGUCGCAAGACAGAAACUUAAAGAAAUUGACGGAAGGACACCACAAGGAGUGGAGUGUGCGGCUUAAUUUGACUCAACGCGGGGCAGCUUACCAGGGCCGGAUGCGCGGGAGAUUGGCGGCGGAGCGCCCCCGAGAUUGCGCAGGGAGUGGUGCAUGGCCGUUUGCAACACGUGGGGUGACCUGUCUGGUUGAUUCCGACAACGCGUGAGGCCUGGGGUGCAGCAGGGGCUGUGCGACGGGCGGCGGCAAGCUGCAGGAGGGCAGGCGAAAACAGGUCAGUGAUGCCCUCAGAUGCUCUGGGCUGCACGCGCACUACAAUGGCGCGGCGAGCGGGAGUGCCGGGAGGCGCGGGCGAGGCCGUGGCGCAGCAGGGAUGGGGGCCUGGAAGGGUGCCCUGAACGAGGAAUUCCUAGUAGCCGCGGGUCACCAAGCCGCGGCGAAUGAGUCCCUGUUCUUUGUACACACCGCCCGUCACUACCUAAGAUGGAUGUGCAGGCGAGGAGGCUGGGCAGGCACCCGAGCCUGUGCAACUAGAUAAGGUAUAAGUCGUAACAAGGCUGCAGUAGGUGAACCUGCGGCAGGAUCACUA